GACGAACGCUGGCGGCGCGCUUAACACAUGCAAGUCAAACGGAAAGGCCUGCUUUCCCUUGUGGAUUGCGGGUACUCGAGUGGCGAACGGGUGAGUAACACGUGAGUGAUCUGCCCCCAACUUGGGUAUAAGCCUGGGAAACUGGGUCUAAUUCCCGAUAGGACUGCAGGGUGGUGCCUGUGGUGGAAAACGAUUUUCUAGUGGUUGGGGAUGAGCUCGCGGCCUAUCAGCUUGUUGGUGGGGUAAUGGCCUACCAAGGCGGCGACGGGUAGCCGGCCUGAGAGGGUGGACGGCCACAUUGGGACUGAGAUACGGCCCAGACUCCUACGGGAGGCAGCAGUGGGGAAUAUUGCACAAUGGGCGGAAGCCUGAUGCAGCGACGCCGCGUGGGGGAUGACGGCCUUCGGGUUGUAAACUCCUUUCGACCGCGAGGAAGCCACCUGGUUGGAAGGGUGGUGACGGUAGUGGUAGAAGAAGCACCGGCUAACUACGUG
rnacentral:rRNA from 1 species